rnacentral:rRNA from 1 species
GAUGAACGCUGGCGGCGUGCCUAAUACAUGCCAGUCGAGCGAACGGACGAGAAGCUUGCUUCUCUGAUGUUAGCGGCGGACGGGUGAGUAACACGUGGAUAACCUACCUAUAAGACUGGGAUAACUUCGGGAAACCGGAGCUAAUACCGGAUAAUAUUUUGAACCGCAUGGUUCAAAAGUGAAAGACGGUCUUGCUGUCACUUCUAGAUGGAUCCGCGCUGCAUUAGCUAGUUGGUAAGGUAACGGCUUACCAAGGCAACGAUGCAUAGCCGACCUGAGAGGGGGAUCGGCCACACUGGAACUGGGACGCGGUCCAGACUCCUACGAGAGGCAGCAGUAGGGAAUCUUCCGCAAUGGGCGAAAGCCUGACGGAGCAACGCCGCGUGAGUGAUGAAGGUCUUCGGAUCGUAAAACUCUGUUAUUAGGGAAGAACAUAUGUGUAAGUAACUGUGCACAUCUUGACGGUACCUAAUCAGAAAGCCACGGCUAACUACGUG